AAAAGCUCGUAGUUGGAUCUCAGCUGCGGUCGGACGGUCCGUCAUUCGGCGGUUACUGUCCGUUGCCCAGCGUUGCGGCGGUUAUCUUUGAUGAUCUUCACCGGUUGUCUCGGGUGACCGCCAAGUUUACUUUGAAAAAAUUAGAGUGCUCAAAGCAGGCGUGACGCCUGAAUAAUUGUGCAUGGAAUAAUGGAAUAGGACCUCUGUUCUAUUUUGUUGGUUUUCGGAACACGAGGUAAUGAUUAAGAGGGACAGACGGGGGCAUUCGUAUUGCGACGCUAGAGGUGAAAUUCUUGGACCGUCGCAAGACGAACUACUGCGAAAGCAUUUGCCAAGAAUGUUUCCAUUAAUCAAGAACGAAAGUUAGAGGCUCGAAGGCGAUCAGAUACCGCCCUAGUUCUAACCAUAAACGAUGCCAGCCAGCGAUCCGGCUGUGUUCCUCAAAUGACACGCCGGGCAGCUUCCGGGAAACCAAAGCCUUUGGGUUCCGGGGGAAGUAUGGUUGCAAAGCUGAAACUUAAAGGAAUUGACGGAAGGGCACCACCAGAAAUGGAGCCUGCGGCUUAAUUUGACUCAACACGGGUAAACUCACCUGGCCCGGACACAGGAAGGAUUGACAGAUUAAGAGCUCUUUCUUGAUUCUGUGGGUGGUGGUGCAUGGCCGUUCUUAGUUGGUGGGGCGACUUGUCUGGUUAAUUCCGAUAACGAACGAGACUCCAGCCUACUAAAUAGACGUUCCCAUCCUCUUGCGUGGGACGUUCUUCUUAGAGGGACAAGCGGCGUUUAGCCGCACGAGACAGAGCAAUAACAGGUCUGGAAUGCCCUUAGAUGUCCGGGGCCGCACGCGCGCUACAUUGAAGGAAUCAGCGUGUGCUUUCCUAGCCCGAAAGGGCUGGGUAACCCGUUGAACCUCCUUCGUGCUGGGGAUUGGCGCGUGUAAUUACCGCCAUGAACGAGGAAUUCCCAGUAAGCACGAGUCAUCAGCUCGUGUUGAUUACGUCCCUGCCCUUUGUCCACACCGCCCGUCGCUACUAUCGAUUGAGUGAUUUAGUGAGGUCUCCGGACUGGCGCCCGGUCUGGCCUUCGAGGUCGAGCCGAAGUGCCGGAAAGAUGACCAAACUUGAUCACUUAGAGAAAGUAAAAGUCGUAACAAGGUUUUC
rnacentral:rRNA from 1 species